rnacentral:rRNA from 1 species
UCGAGAAUCUUUCACAAUGGGGGCAACCCUGAUGGAGCGACGCCGCGUGGAGGAUGAAGGGCUUCGGCUCGUAAACUCCUGUCACCGCAGAACAAGGUUUGUAUAUUAACACUAUUGCAAAUUUGAUGGUAUGCGGAGAGGAAGGGACGGCUAACUCUGUGCCAGCAGCCGCGGUAAUACAGAGGUCCCAAGCGUUGUUCGGAUUUACUGGGCGUAAAGGGUGCGUAGGAGGUUGGCAAAGUCGGGUGUGAAAUCUCACCGCUUAACGGUGAAAUUGCGCUCGAUACUGGUUGACUAGAGUAUCGGAGGGGAAAGCGGAAUUCCUGGUGUAGCGGUGAAAUGCGUAGAUAUCAGGAGGAACACCAACGGCGAAGGCAGCUUUCUGGACGAUAACUGACUCUGAGGCACGAAGGCCAGGGGAGCGAACGG